AAUACAGCUAUACCAUGCAGUCGCACGGCAGCACGGACUUCGGUCUGGUGGCGAGUGGCGAACGGGUGAGUAAUGUAUCGGAACGUGCCCAGUAGCGGGGGAUAACUACGCGAAAGCGUAGCUAAUACCGCAUACGCCCUACGGGGGAAAGCAGGGGAUCGCAAGACCUUGCACUAUUGGAGCGGCCGAUAUCGGAUUAGCUAGUUGGUGGGGUAACGGCUCACCAAGGCGACGAUCCGUAGCUGGUUUGAGAGGACGACCAGCCACACUGGGACUGAGACACGGCCCAGACUCCUACGGGAGGCAGCAGUGGGGAAUUUUGGACAAUGGGGGAAACCCUGAUCCAGCCAUCCCGCGUAUGCGAUGAAGGCCUUCGGGUUGUAAAGCACUUUUGGCAGGAAAGAAACGUCGCGGGUUAAUACCUCGCGAAACUGACGGUACCUGCAGAAUAAGCACCGGCUAACUACGUGCCAGCAGCCGCGGUAAUACGUAGGGUGCAAGCGUUAAUCGGAAUUACUGGGCGUAAAGCGUGCGCAGGCGGUUCGGACAGAAAGAUGUGAAAUCCCAGAGCUUUA
rnacentral:rRNA from 1 species